AGCGAACGCUGGCGGCAGGCUUAACACAUGCAAGUCGAGCGGGCACUUUCGGGUGUCAGCGGCGGACGGGUGCGUAACGCGUGGGAACGUGCCCUCUGGUUCGGAAUAACUCAGGGAAACUUGAGCUAAUACCGGAUACGCCCUUUUGGGGAAAGGCUUGCUGCCGGAGGAUCGGCCCGCGUCUGAUUAGCUAGUUGGUGAGGUAACGGCUCACCAAGGCGACGAUCAGUAGCUGGUCUGAGAGGAUGAUCAGCCACACUGGGACUGAGACACGGCCCAGACUCCUACGGGAGGCAGCAGUGGGGAAUAUUGGACAAUGGGCGCAAGCCUGAUCCAGCCAUGCCGCGUGAGUGAUGAAGGCCUUAGGGUUGUAAAGCUCUUUUAUCCGGGACGAUAAUGACGGUACCGGAGGAAUAAGCCCCGGCUAACUUCGAG
rnacentral:rRNA from 1 species